rnacentral:rRNA from 1 species
AAUAGAUACCCAGGUAGUCCACGCCGUAAACGAUGAGUGCUAAGUGUUAGGGGGUUUCCGCCCCUUAGUGCUGCAGCUAACGCAUUAAGCACUCCGCCUGGGGAGUACGGUCGCAAGACUGAAACUCAAAGGAAUUGACGGGGGCCCGCACAAGCGGUGGAGCAUGUGGUUUAAUUCGAAGCAACGCGAAGAACCUUACCAGGUCUUGACAUCCCAUUGACCACUAUGGAGACAUAGUUUUCCCUUCGGGGACAACGGUGACAGGUGGUGCAUGGUUGUCGUCAGCUCGUGUCGUGAGAUGUUGGGUUAAGUCCCGCAACGAGCGCAACCCUUGUUCUUAGUUGCCAUCAUUUAGUUGGGCACUCUAAGGAGACUGCCGGUGACAAACCGGAGGAAGGUGGGGAUGACGUCAAAUCAUCAUGCCCCUUAUGACCUGGGCUACACACGUGCUACAAUGGACGGUACAAACGGUUGCCAACCCGCGAGGGGAGCUAAUCCGAUAAACCGUUCUCAGUUCGGAUUGUAGGCUGCAACUCGCCUACA